AUUUUUGGAGGAUCACGCAUUCCCGGAUCAGUUUGCAUCCAAAGCCUUAGCCGAGAAAUACACCCAAUCCUGGGGUUUCUCCCCAUCCCUCCUGCCCCCCUUUUGUGGAUGAGUUAUCUAUAACAUAGCAUCUUUUCAGAAAGCCUGCCUUCUUGCAGGAAUGCCCAAACAAAGCCACCCUCCACUUUCCAUGUUGACGUUUUGAUUUUGAAAUGGAUUCCCCCUGAAAUUUGGGGUAACUGAGUCACAUGUGAAGUCAUCGGCCCCACAACCUAUGCUUGAUACCAAGCCAGGGCUCAUUUCUUAGAAUUCAGCCAGCAGGUUCUGUUUGCUUACAUUAAGAACUUGGUGUUCUAAGCCUGUGGUGUUUGUUUUCAAGAGAUUUAAAAGAAAUACAUUUUUUUUCUUUGAUCAGAUCAGGUCCAGAUAAGCCCAGGACUAUUUUUUAUUUCCUUUGAGAAAGAUUGCAGAGUCCAGAAGGAAUGGAAAAAGUGUUGGGGGAUGGGUAGGAGAUGUGCAGAAUAUGCUGACAUUUUUAUUCCUUCAUUGAUCAAAUAUUUGCUGAGCACUUCCUAUGUGUUAGGCACUGUUCUUGGGGCUGGAGGCGUGGCAGGGAACCAGACAAGCGUAGUGUCUGCCCUCAUAGUGAUUACACUCUGUGUGUGUGUGUGUGUAUGUGUGUGAAAGACAAUAAACAGAUUAAGACUAACAUCAGGUGGAGAGAAAGCUUCCUAAGAUAAAGCAGCCUAAGGGUUAGGCAGAGGAUGACAACCAGGUAGGAAUAAAGGUGGGGAAAGUGCUG
rnacentral:lncRNA from 10 species